rnacentral:rRNA from 1 species
GACGAACGCUGGCGGCGUGCUUAACACAUGCAAGUCGAACGGAAAGGCCCUGCUUUUGUGGGGUGCUCGAGUGGCGAACGGGUGAGUAACACGUGAGUAACCUGCCCUUGACUUUGGGAUAACUUCAGGAAACUGGGGCUAAUACCGGAUAGGAGCUCCUGCUGCAUGGUGGGCGUUGGAAAGUUUCGGCGGUUGGGGAUGGACUCGCGGCUUAUCAGCUUGUUGGUGGGGUAGUGGCUUACCAAGGCUUUGACGGGUAGCCGGCCUGAGAGGGUGACCGGCCACAUUGGGACUGAGAGACGGCCCAGACUCCUACGGGAGGCAGCAGUGGGGAAUAUUGCACAAUGGGCGGAAGCCUGAUGCAGCAACGCCGCGUGCGGGAUGACGGCCUUCGGGUUGUAAACCGCUUUCGCCUGUGACGAAGCGUGAGUGACGGUAAUGGGUAAAGAAGCACCGGCUAACUACGUG